GCCACUUUGUUCUUUCUCGCUGGUCGUCGCUGCUGGUCAGUGGAUGGUGGAGGUACAAUCGCAAUCUAUCCAUUGCUUUCUACUACCUUUGUCUUGUUAAAGCUGUCGUAAUAUUCUUCCCAAGAUGGAUUGUUUUGGCAUCUCCGAUUUCCGAGAGGACUUCGCUGCUGGUUAGACCAUUGAUUCCUUUCCGCAGAGAGUAAAGAUGGCGAGCUGUGAUCUUGGAAGCUCGUAAAAUCCACUUUCGUCAAGUAGGUCCUCGAUGGGCGAAUGUUUUACGACUCAAAACGAAAGAUCCUUACUGGGUAUUUGAAGCUGAGGAAGAGGUAAUGAGAUGCUGGUGCAAGACUUCAUUGGUAUUUGAAGCUGAGGAAGAGGUGACUGGAUGUUGGCGUAAGACUUCAAUGGUAUGCAGCAAUUCCCGGAAUGGAGUGUGUUCACACUUGAAACCUGCUGUUAACCUGCAGCACUGACUGGAUGGUGGCUGAAUUUCCUGAAUUAUUUUUUGCUUUGCAAUUGGUACAUCUGUUAAAGAGUGUUGUGCUAAUAAAUAAUGCAAACUGAACUUGUUUGGAAUUCAGAAUCUGUUCUACUGGAACUGAGUAACAAUCUUGCACUGGUUCUCUUGGCUUCCAGAGCAGUAGAGCAAGCUCAUUAAAAGGCUGAGACCACGGCAGUAGAAAAUGAUUUGUUUUUAACUUGGAAUAAGAACUUAAUACUUAUACCAGUGAGUUCAAAAAAAUAACUGGAAUUUGUUAAAGAAAGCGUGAAAGAAUUUAGAUCGGGUUGGUAUAUUGGUUAUUACAUGGACUGGGGUACAGUGAGAAUGUUGACAAACGAGAUUCUGCAGAUGCUGGAAAUCCAAAGCAACGCACCAAAUGCCGGAGGAACUUGGCAAGUCAGGCAGCAUCCAUGGAAAGGGGGACGAUGCCAGAAGAAAGGUGGUUACCUUACCUGCUGAGUUCCACCAGCAUUUUCCCCUGGGAUUAAUAAAGUAUGACUGACUAU